CCAGAAGUAGUAGAGCUGGAUCAUUACACUCCUGUGACCAAUCCUGCAUGAGACUGCGGUUAGGCCCGCCUUUCUCAUUAGCAUAAGGACACUGAAAUCGGGCAUGUGAGAACAACACAGAGACAGAGGGAGGAGUGGAACGUCUGAGAGUGGGAAUAUAAAAGGCAGCUCUCCUCCAGCUGUUGGGCCUGUCCUUGAGGCAAACUUGGGUAAACAUUCAUGUAACUUCAUGUUUAACAGUGUCCCGCAGAGUGCACGCCCCAACUACUGUCACGUCUUGCACCGUAGAGCACGUCUGUCCUCCCUCAUGUUGUUUACGAUCUAAUUUCACAGGUCACAUGACUGUCUUUGUGUUGUGUAAUGUGUCUACACACCUGCAGAGGUGCCACUGUUUGUGUUGCUGCAUGCCUGCAAAGAUGCCAGAGACUUCAAUGAGACAAAUGCUUUAAGAGCCAUGUUAGCGGUUGCUGUGGCUCAAAGGGUACAGUGAUCAUACUCUGGCCAGAAGGUUGUCAGUUCGAUAUCAGUCUUCCCCAUACAGCAUGCCGAUGUGUUCUUGGCAAGAUACUGCAUUCUAAAAGGGCACAAGAAUAACUCUCAUUACUGAAUGAUACAGUAUAACUCAGUGUUCCACAGAGUCCAACAUCUGUAAAGAUCCUUAAAACUAAGUGCAUUUUUUAAAUUGAUUUGAUACACUCAUGCUCCUUAUUUGCAGCUUGACUUUAUUUGUAUUUUAUAUCUGUCAGAAAUUAAAAA